AGCCCAAACCAAUAAAGUUUUCUUUAUUGGGGUUGCGGACAUAUCAUAACGAAGAGGUAUCGUAAUUGAAGAGGUUUGGAAAGACCCACCACAGAAGGUAAUAGUCCUGUAUGUUAAACGAGAAGACUUUAGAUAUGAUCCAGAGUACCACGGGACACGUGAAACCCUGUGGGAAGCAGGAGGGACCACCCUCCAAGGCUAAAUACUACCUAGUGACCGAUAGCGUAUAGUACCGUGAGGGAAAGGUGAAAAGAACCCCGGGAGGGGAGUGAAAUAGAACCUGAAACCCUGCACUUACAAGCUGUGGAAGCACAUUUCUUGUGUGACCGCGUACUUUUUGUAGAACGGGCCAACGAGUUACGUUAAGUAGCAAGGUUAAGCACUUAAGGUGCGGAGCCGUAGCGAAAGCGAGUUUUAACUGAGCGUUCAGUUACUUGACGUAGACCCGAAACCGGGCGACCUACCCAUGAGCAGGAUGAAGCGAAAGUAAAAUUUCGUGGAGGUCCGAACCCACGAGCGUUGAAAAGCUCGGGGAUGACUUGUGGGUAGCGGUGAAAUUCCAAUCGAGCCCGGAGAUAGCUGGUUCUCCCCGAAAUAGCUUUAGGGCUAGCCUCAAGGUGAGAGAUACGGAGGUAGAGCACUGAAUGUCCUAGGGGGUAUUGCACCUACCGAAGACUAUCAAACUCCGAAUGCCGUCAUCUUAUACUUGGGAGUCAGACUGUGGGUGAUAAGAUUCAUAGUCGAAAGGGCAACAGCCCAGAUCGUCAGCUAAGGUCCCUAAAUGUAAGUUAAGUGGUAAAGGAUGUGGGAUUGCACAGACAACCAGGAUGUUGGCUUAGAAGCAGCCACUCAUUCAAAGAGUGCGUAAUAGCUCACUGGUCGAGUGAUCCUGCGCCGAAGAUUUCCGGGGCUAAAACUUACUACCGAAGCUACGGCAUCAGUAAUGAUGGGUAGGGGAGCUUCCCAUACGGGUUGAAGCAUGACCGUAAGGACAUGUGGACAGUAUGGGAGUGAGAAUGUUGGCAUGAGUAGCGAGAUGUGGGUGAGAAUCCCACAGGCCGUAAACCCAAGGUUUCCAGGGGAAGGUUCGUCCGCCCUGGGUUAGUCGGGACCUAAGCUGAGGCCGAAAGGCGUAGGUGAUGGACAACAGGUUGAUAUUCCUGUACUACCGAUAACCGUUUGAGAGAAGGGAUGACACAGUAGGAUAAGCUAAGCACACUGUUGGUUAUGUGUGCCCAAGCAUUGAGGCAGUCAAAGUAGGCAAAUCCGCUUUGAUAAUGCUGGGAUGUGAUGGGGAGCGAAAUUUAGUAGCGAAGUAGCUGAUUUCACACUGUCAAGAAAAGUCUCUAUCGAGGUUAAAGGUACCCGUACCGCAAACCGACACAGGUGGGUGAGGAGAGUAUCCUAAGGCCAGCGAGAGAACUGUUGUUAAGGAACUCGGCAAAAUGACCCCGUAACUUAGGGAUAAGGGGUGCCACCAUCAGGUGGCCGCAGAGAAUAGGCCCAAGCGACUGUUUACCAAAAACAUAGGUUUCUGCUAAGUCGCAAGACGAUGUAUAGGAGCUGACGCCUGCCCGGUGCUGGAAGGUUAAGGGGAUCUGUUAGAGCAAUCGAAGCAGUGAACUUAAGCCCCAGUAAACGGCGGCCGUAACUAUAACGGUCCUAAGGUAGCGAAAUUCCUUGUCGGGUAAGUUCCGACCCGCACGAAAGGCGUAACGAUUUGGGCACUGUCUCAACAACAGACUCGGUGAAAUUGUAAUUCCGGUGAAGAUGCCGGAUACCUGCGACAGGACGGAAAGACCCCAUGGAGCUUUACUGUAGCUUGACAUUGGGUCUUGGUACUACAUGUACAGGAUAGGUGGGAGGCUUUGAAACCAGGACGCCAGUUUUGGCGGAGCCAUCCUUGGGAUACCACCCUUGUAGUACUGGGACUCUAACCAUAGGCCAUGAAUCUGGUCUUGGGACACUGUCAGGUGGGCAGUUUGACUGGGGCGGUCGCCUCCCAAAAGGUAACGGAGGCGCUCAAAGGUUCUCUCAGUACGGUCGGAAAUCGUACGUAGAGUGUAAAGGCAAAAGAGAGCUUGAUUGCAAGACAUACAGGUCGAGCAAGGAUGAAAAUCGGACUUAGUGAUCCGGUGGUUCUGCGUGGAAGGGCCAUCGCUCAACGGAUAAAAGCUACCCUGGGGAUAACAGGCUUAUCUCCCCCAAGAGUCCACAUCGACGGGGAGGUUUGGCACCUCGAUGUCGGCUCAUCACAUCCUGGGGCUGUAGUAGGUCCCAAGGGUUGGGCUGUUCGCCCAUUAAAGUGGUACGCGAGCUGGGUUCAGAACGUCGUGAGACAGUUCGGUCCCUAUCCGUCGCAGGCGUAGGAAAUUUGAGAAGACCUGUCCUUAGUACGAGAGGACCGGGAUGGACGUACCUCUGGUGUACCAGUUGUCCUGCCAAGGGCAUGGCUGGGUAGCUAUGUACGGAAUGGAUAAGCGCUGAAAGCAUCUAAGCGCGAAGCCAACUUCAAGAUAAGAUUUCCCACCGCAAGGGUAAGACCCCAGAAAGACUAUCUGGUUGA
rnacentral:rRNA from 1 species